UUAAGUUAUUAAGGGCGCACGGUGGAUGCCUUGGCACUAGAAGCCGAUGAAGGACGUCACUAACGACGAUAUGCUUUGGGGAGCUGUAAGUAAGCUUUGAUCCAGAGAUUUCCGAAUGGGGAAACCCAGCAUGAGUUAUGUCAUGUUAUCGAUAUGUGAAUACAUAGCAUAUCAGAAGGCACACCCGGAGAACUGAAACAUCUUAGUACCCGGAGGAAGAGAAAGAAAAUUCGAUUCCCUUAGUAGCGGCGAGCGAAACGGGAAGAGCCCAAACCAACAAGCUUGCUUGUUGGGGUUGUAGGACACUCUAUACGGAGUUACAAAGGACGACAUUAGACGAAUCAUCUGGAAAGAUGAAUCAAAGAAGGUAAUAAUCCUGUAGUCGAAAAUGUUGUCUCUCUUGAGUGGAUCCUGAGUACGACGGAGCACGUGAAAUUCCGUCGGAAUCUGGGAGGACCAUCUCCUAAGGCUAAAUACUCUCUAGUGACCGAUAGUGAACCAGUACCGUGAGGGAAAGGUGAAAAGCACCCCGGAAGGGGAGUGAAAUAGAACCUGAAACCGUGUGCUUACAAGUAGUCAGAGCCCGUUAAUGGGUGAUGGCGUGCCUUUUGUAGAAUGAACCGGCGAGUUACGAUUUGAUGCAAGGUUAAGCAGUAAAUGUGGAGCCGUAGCGAAAGCGAGUCUGAAUAGGGCGUUUAGUAUUUGGUCGUAGACCCGAAACCAGGUGAUCUACCCUUGGUCAGGUUGAAGUUCAGGUAACACUGAAUGGAGGACCGAACCGACUUACGUUGAAAAGUGAGCGGAUGAACUGAGGGUAGCGGAGAAAUUCCAAUCGAACCUGGAGAUAGCUGGUUCUCUCCGAAAUAGCUUUAGGGCUAGCCUCAAGUGAUGAUUAUUGGAGGUAGAGCACUGUUUGGACGAGGGGCCCCUCUCGGGUUACCGAAUUCAGACAAACUCCGAAUGCCAAUUAAUUUAACUUGGGAGUCAGAACAUGGGUGAUAAGGUCCGUGUUCGAAAGGGAAACAGCCCAGACCACCAGCUAAGGUCCCAAAAUAUAUGUUAAGUGGAAAAGGAUGUGGCGUUGCCCAGACAACUAGGAUGUUGGCUUAGAAGCAGCCAUCAUUUAAAGAGUGCGUAAUAGCUCACUAGUCGAGUGACACUGCGCCGAAAAUGUACCGGGGCUAAACAUAUUACCGAAGCUGUGGAUUGUCCUUUGGACAAUGGUAGGAGAGCGUUCUAAGGGCGUUGAAGCAUGAUCGUAAGGACAUGUGGAGCGCUUAGAAGUGAGAAUGCCGGUGUGAGUAGCGAAAGACGGGUGAGAAUCCCGUCCACCGAUUGACUAAGGUUUCCAGAGGAAGGCUCGUCCGCUCUGGGUUAGUCGGGUCCUAAGCUGAGGCCGACAGGCGUAGGCGAUGGAUAACAGGUUGAUAUUCCUGUACCACCUAUAAUCGUUUUAAUCGAUGGGGGGACGCAGUAGGAUAGGCGAAGCGUGCGAUUGGAUUGCACGUCUAAGCAGUAAGGCUGAGUAUUAGGCAAAUCCGGUACUCGUUAAGGCUGAGCUGUGAUGGGGAGAAGACAUUGUGUCUUCGAGUCGUUGAUUUCACACUGCCGAGAAAAGCCUCUAGAUAGAAAAUAGGUGCCCGUACCGCAAACCGACACAGGUAGUCAAGAUGAGAAUUCUAAGGUGAGCGAGCGAACUCUCGUUAAGGAACUCGGCAAAAUGACCCCGUAACUUCGGGAGAAGGGGUGCUCUUUAGGGUUAACGCCCAGAAGAGCCGCAGUGAAUAGGCCCAAGCGACUGUUUAUCAAAAACACAGGUCUCUGCUAAACCGUAAGGUGAUGUAUAGGGGCUGACGCCUGCCCGGUGCUGGAAGGUUAAGAGGAGUGGUUAGCUUCUGCGAAGCUACGAAUCGAAGCCCCAGUAAACGGCGGCCGUAACUAUAACGGUCCUAAGGUAGCGAAAUUCCUUGUCGGGUAAGUUCCGACCCGCACGAAAGGCGUAACGAUUUGGGCACUGUCUCAACGAGAGACUCGGUGAAAUCAUAGUACCUGUGAAGAUGCAGGUUACCCGCGACAGGACGGAAAGACCCCGUGGAGCUUUACUGUAGCCUGAUAUUGAAAUUCGGCACAGCUUGUACAGGAUAGGUAGGAGCCUUUGAAACGUGAGCGCUAGCUUACGUGGAGGCGCUGGUGGGAUACUACCCUAGCUGUGUUGGCUUUCUAACCCGCACCACUUAUCGUGGUGGGAGACAGUGUCAGGCGGGCAGUUUGACUGGGGCGGUCGCCUCCUAAAAGGUAACGGAGGCGCUCAAAGGUUCCCUCAGAAUGGUUGGAAAUCAUUCAUAGAGUGUAAAGGCAUAAGGGAGCUUGACUGCGAGACCUACAAGUCGAGCAGGGUCGAAAGACGGACUUAGUGAUCCGGUGGUUCCGCAUGGAAGGGCCAUCGCUCAACGGAUAAAAGCUACCCCGGGGAUAACAGGCUUAUCUCCCCCAAGAGUUCACAUCGACGGGGAGGUUUGGCACCUCGAUGUCGGCUCAUCGCAUCCUGGGGCUGUAGUCGGUCCCAAGGGUUGGGCUGUUCGCCCAUUAAAGCGGUACGCGAGCUGGGUUCAGAACGUCGUGAGACAGUUCGGUCCCUAUCCGUCGUGGGCGUAGGAAAUUUGAGAGGAGCUGUCCUUAGUACGAGAGGACCGGGAUGGACAUACCUCUGGUGUACCAGUUGUCGUGCCAACGGCAUAGCUGGGUAGCUAUGUGUGGACGGGAUAAGUGCUGAAAGCAUCUAAGCAUGAAGCCCCCCUCAAGAUGAGAUUUCCCAACUUCGGUUAUAAGAUCCCUCAAAGAUGAUGAGGUUAAUAGGUUCGAGGUGGAAGCAUGGUGACAUGUGGAGCUGACGAAUACUAAUCGAUCGAAGACUUAAUCAA
rnacentral:rRNA from 1 species